GUCUUCGUGGUGUAGUGGUCAGCACGCUCGGCGCGUAUUCGAGAGGUCCGUGGUUCGAGUCCCGGCAAGGGCA
rnacentral:tRNA from 1 species